CGGACAUUUAUUUUCAUUCAAGUUUCUUCUCAAAAUGAAGAUAACUCACUAUAAAUGUCCUAGAGAAAUAUGGUAGCUUUCUGUUCACCUUUUGCCAGUAAAAAAGGGUGGAUCGUUCCACUACUGACAUUA
ensembl:snoRNA